UUUUUAGACAUUCCUUGUACUGCUCCCAUCAUGGUAGUCUGUCUGGCCCAGAGUAUGGUGCAGAGGAGCGGCCGCUGGCUCCUGCCGUUCCCUACUGCCCUGUCUCUGGUCUACACCAGGGCUGCAGGAGGCACCCCUUCUCCCUCAGUCGCCCAACCGUCCACCUCCCAGGAUAAGAUUCGGACCGAGGAUGACCUCCCCAAGAUUAAAACCAGGGAGAUGUUGUACAGAUUGUAUGUCCAAGGCUACUACAAGCGUCUACACGAGCUACAGGUGUAUGAGAAGCAGCUGUACGGCCCCAUGUACAAAAUAGGCAUAGGCAGCAUUAACUCCGUUGCUCUCAACAGUGUGGAGCUACUGGAGGAGCUGCUUAGGAAGGAUGAGAGGUUCCCCAGCCGAGGAGACAUGUCCCUCUGGACAGACUACCGGGACCUGAGGGGCAUUGGUUACGGCCCCUUCACUGAGGAAGGGGUGAAGUGGUACAAUCUGAGGACUGUGCUGAACAAGCGCAUGCUGCACCCUAAAGACUCGGUGCAGUACGGAGACGUGGUCAACGAGGUGGUCAGCGACCUGAUCAAGAGGAUCUACCACCUACGCCGGACCAGCGCCACGGGAGACCGGGUGAACAACCUGUCCAAUGAGCUCUACCGAUUCUCUCUGGAGGGAAUCUCUUCCAUCCUGUUUGAGACUCGGAUCGGCUGUCUGGAGGAAGAGAUCCCGGUGGAGACGCAGCACUUCAUCGAUUCCAUCGCUCAGAUGUUCUCCUACAACUUGCUGGUGGCCAUGCUGCCCAAGUGGAGCCGCAACAUCCUGCCAUUCUAUGGGCGCUACAUCGCUGGCUGGGAGGGCAUCUUCAAAUUCUCUGUGAAGUUUAUUGAGAUGAAGAUGGAGGCAAUUCAGAAGCGAGUGGACACAAACCAGGACGUUGAGGGAGAAUACUUAACGUACCUCCUCUCCAAUACAAAGAUGACCAAUAAGGAGGUGUACGGCAGCGUCGCUGAGCUGUUAUUGGCUGGAGUUGAUACCACAUCCAAUACCAUGAUGUGGGCGAUGUACCUGCUGUCCAGGGACUCCAAUGUGCAGAACACCCUUUAUCAGGAGGUGUCACGCUGUGUACCAGGAGACAACAUUCCAUCUGCUCAAGAUGUCAACUGCAUGCCAUACCUCAAGGCUGUAAUAAAGGAAACACUAAGAAUGUACCCUGUUGUCCCCCUGAACUCACGCAUCAUGGCAGAGAAGGAUGUCAUUAUUGGCGGACAUUUUUUCCCCAAGAAGGUUAAUCUCUCUUUAGGGAAACAACCAACUUUCAAACUUCGUUUACAAUGUGCCACUACGCCAUCAGCCAAGAUGAAAAGACAUUCCCAGAACCAUCGAAGUUCAAGCCUGAACGAUGGUUGAGGGAUGGCCGAGUCCGGCCAAACCCCUUUGGCUCUAUCCCAUUUGGUUUUGGGGUUCGGGGUUGCGUAGGUCGUCGGAUAGCUGAACUGGAGAUGUACCUGGCUUUGUCACGGAUAAUCAAGCUAUUUGAAAUCAGACCGGACCCCAGCAUAAGAGAGGUGAAAGCUCUCAAUCGCUCCGUCUUAGUAGCAGACAGGCAAGUCAAUCUGCACUUCCUGGAGAGGACGGACAAAGCUGCCCUUUGAUAUGUUAAAGACAGGUGAUAGCCAUUUGUCACCAAGCAGCCUACAAUAUCUAUCGCUGAAUGUAAUUAAAAAUACACUACAGUUCAAAGGUUUAGGGUCAAUUAGAAAUGUCCUUGUUUUAUAAAGAUAAGCACAUUUUUUUGUCCAUUUAAUAUAACAUCAAAUUGAUCAGAAAUACAGUGUAGACAUUGAUAAAGUUGUAAAUGGCUAUUGUAGCUGGAAACGGCUGAUUUGUUUUUUAAAAUGGAAUAUCUACAUAGGCGUACAGAGGCCCAUUAUCAGCAACCAUCACUCCUGUGUUCCAAUGGCACGUUGUGUUAGCUAAUCAAGUUUAUCAUUUUGAAAGGCAAAUUGAUCAUUAGAAAACCCUUUUGUAAUUAUGUUAGCACAGCUGAAAACUGUUGUUCUCUUUUAAAGAAGUAAUAAAACUGUCCUUUAGACUAGUUGAGUAUCUGGAGCAUCAGCAUUUGUGGGUUCGAUUACAGGCUCAAAAUGGCCAGAAACAAAUUACUUUCAGAAACAAAUAACUUUCUUCUGAAAAUCGUCUGUCUAUUCUUGUUCUGAGAAAUUAAGGCUAUUCCAUGCGAGAAAUUGGCAAGAAACUGAAGAUCUCGUACAACACUGUGUACUACUUCCCGAUGCACAACUGAGCAAGAGGACAAGUGCAUUAGAGUGUCUAGUUUGAGAAACAGAUGCUUCACAAACCCUCAACUGGCAGUUUCAUUAAAUAGUACCCGCAAAACACCAGUCUCAAUGUCAACAGUGAAGAGGUGACUCCGGUAUGCUGGCCUCCUCGGCAGAGUUCCUCUGUCCAGUGUCUGUGUUCUUUUCCCCAUCUUAAUCUUUUCUUUUUAUUGCCCAGUCUGAGAUAUGGCUUUUUCUUUGCAGCUCUGCCUUGAAGGCCAGCGUCCCGGUAUCGCCUCUUCACUGUUGAUGUUAAGACUGGUGUUUUGCGGGUACUAAACACAAUACCCCAUAAUGCCAAAGUCUCAUUAUAUUUUUUCCAAAUUAAUUAAAAAACAAAAGAUGAAAGGUCUUAAGACAAUAAGUAUUUAACCCCUUUGUUAUGGCAAGCUUAAAUAAGUUCAGGAGUACAAAUGUGCUGAACAAGUCACUGUGUGCAAUAAUAUUGUUUAACAUGAUUUUUAAAUGACUACCCCAUCUCUGUACCCCAAAAUCUAUAGCAAAACUUGAAGAUCGUUGUCUAGUAAUAAUCAACUUCCAACUUGACAGUUUUCUUGUGGUUUUUAUGGAAAGUGUUCUUAACCUUUUCAGAACAAUUUGAGAAGAUGACUUUAAAUAGAACCAUGAGAACCAUGAGGAAAAUAGAACCAUGAGGAAAUUCCCACAGAAGAAUGUUGUUUCUUAACAUUCUCAAAACUAUUUGAGAACAUUCCCAAUGUCAAACCAGUUGGAGAACAUUCUUAGAAAAUUAACAAAAUUGAAAUUAAAUGUAACCAUCUUAUACUUUUAGGAAAUGUUUUGUUAAGGUAAUGAAAUACCAAGAAAAUAUACUGAACAAAAAUAUAAUUGCAACAUGCAACAAUUUCUAUGAUUUUACUGAGUUACAGUUCAUAUAAUGAAAUCAGUCAAUUGAAAUUAAUUAAUUAUAUCCUAAUCUAUGAAUUUCACAUGACUGGGCAGGGGUGCCGCCAUGGGUGGGCCUGGGAGGGCAUAGGCCCACCCAUUUGGGAGCCAGGCGCAGCCAAUCAGAAUGAGUUUUUCCCCACAAAAGGGCAUUAUUACAGACAGAAAUACUCCUCAGUUUCAUCAGCUGUCCAGGUGGCUGGUCUCAGACGAUCCCGCAGGUGAAGAAGCCGGAUUUGGAGGUCCAGGGCUGGCAUGGUUACACGUGGUCUGCAUUUUGUGAGGCUGGUUGGACGUUCUAAAAAAAAAUCUAAGACAACAUUGGAGGUGGCUUAUGGUAGAGAAGUUAACAUUCAAUUAUUUGGCAAUAGCUCUGGUGGACUUUUGUUCAGUCAGCAUGCCAAUUGCACGCUCUCUCAAAACUUGUGACAUCUGUGGCAUUGUGUUGUGUGAUAAAACUGCACAUUUUAGAGUGGCCUUUUAUUGUCCCAUGCACAAGCUGCAUGUGUGUAAAGAUUGUUGUUUAAUCAGAUUCUUGAUGUGCCACACCUGUCAGGUGGAUGGAUUAUCGUGGAAAAGGAGAAAUGCUCACAAACAGGGAUGUAAACAAAUGUGUGCUCAAAAUUUGAGAGAAAUACACUUUAUGUGCGAAUGGAAAAUGUGUAGGAUCUUUUAUUUCAGCUCUUGAAACGAGCACUUUACAUGUUAUUUAUAUUUUUGUUCAGUGUACAAUUUUUUUGUUGUCAAGUUCCUUAAAAUGUGCUGAGAAUGUUCCAACACCAAGAAACUAUCCUGCACCAUUAUCAGAAAGUUGUGGGAAGGUUGUAUGCAAAAUAACCAUCGGCCACGCCUUAAGAAACAUAUGGUUCUCAGAACGUUAUGUACUAGUUGGUUUAGUUGGGGUUCAGCGGUCUUCUAUGUUGGGAAUUCUGAUAAGGCUUUACAAUGACUCAUUAAAAUGUAGGCUACUAUAUAAAUUGCUAUAUCUAGACCACAAUGCUUUGUUUUCAUUUUAAAUUGAAAAAAUAUAUAUAUUCUCUCUAUGGAAAGUCUGUUCUAUAUUUAAAUUAAAUAAAUUCACUACAAUGAUGUUGUAAACUUGA